GAUGAAGAACGCAGCGAAAUGCGAUAAGUAAUGUGAAUUGCAGAAUUCAGUGAAUCAUCGAAUCUUUGAACGCACAUUGCGCCCGCCAGUAUUCUGGCGGGCAUGCCUGUUCGAGCGUCAUCACAACCCUCAGGCCCCCGGGCCUGGCGUUGGGGAUCGGCGGAGCCCCCCGUGGGCACACGCCGUCCCCCAAAUGCAGUGGCGGUCCCGCCGCAGCUUCCAUCGCGUAGUAGCUAACACCUCGCGACUGGAGAGCGGCGCGGCCACGCCGUAAAACACCCAACUCUUCUGAAGUUGACCUCGAAUCAGGUAGGAAUACCCGCUGAACUUAAGCAUAUCAAUAAGCGGAGGA
rnacentral:misc_RNA from 1 species